rfam:Myotis lucifugus cont2.5323, whole genome shotgun sequence.
GAGACACCCUUCUGGGGCAAGACUUGCUUCAGUGGGGCUUUAAUGCUCACUGAGUCUGCCUCCUGAGUGUGUCCCU